UGCUAGUCGAGCGAACAGAUAAGGAGCUUGCUCCUUUGACGUUAGCGGCGGACGGGUGAGUAACACGUGGGUAACCUACCUAUAAGACUGGAAUAACUCCGGGAAACCGGGGCUAAUGCCGGAUAACAUAUAGAACCGCAUGGUUCUAUAGUGAAAGAUGGUUUUGCUAUCACUUAUAGAUGGACCCGCGCCGUAUUAGCUAGUUGGUAAGGUAAUGGCUUACCAAGGCGACGAUACGUAGCCGACCUGAGAGGGUGAUCGGCCACACUGGAACUGAGACACGGUCCAGACUCCUACGGGAGGCAGCAGUAGGGAAUCUUCCGCAAUGGGCGAAAGCCUGACGGAGCAACGCCGCGUGAGUGAUGAAGGGUUUCGGCUCGUAAAACUCUGUUAUUAGGGAAGAACAUAUGUGUAAGUAACUGUGCACAUCUUGACGGUACCUAAUCAGAAAGCCACGGCUAACUACGUGCCAGCAGCCGCGGUAAUACGUAUGUGGCAAGCGUUAUCCGGAAUUAUUGGGCGUAAAGCGCGCGUAGGCGGUUUCUUAAGUCUGAUGUGAAAGCCCACGGCUCACCCGUGGAGGGUCAUUGGAAACUGGGAAACUUGAGUGCAGAAGAGGA
rnacentral:rRNA from 1 species